CUUUUCUGCUUGCUGUACAGACUGCUGCCGCGCUGGCUGUCUAGGUCGCUCUGUCUCCUAAAAACCCAGAACAGAAGAUCAUAAAGAGAGUGAUUGCUCUUGAAGGAGACAUUGUCAAAACCAUUGGACACAAAAACCGUUUGGUCAAAGUCCCCCGUGGUCACAUGUGGGUUGAAGGCGAUCACCAUGGACACAGUUUCGAUAGUAAUGCUUUUGGGCCGGUG